rnacentral:rRNA from 1 species
CAUGCAAGUCGAACGGAGCUUAGAGAGCUUGCUUUUUAAGCUUAGUGGCGAACGGGUGAGUAACGCGUGAGUAACCUGCCCUAGAGUGGGGGACAACAGUUGGAAACGACUGCUAAUACCGCAUAAGCCCACGGUACCGCAUGGUACUGAGGGAAAAGGAUUUAUUCGCUUUAGGAUGGACUCGCGUCCAAUUAGCUAGUUGGUGAGGUAACGGCCCACCAAGGCGACGAUUGGUAGCCGGACUGAGAGGUUGAACGGCCACAUUGGGACUGAGACACGGCCCAGACUCCUACGGGAGGCAGCAGUGGGGGAUAUUGCACAAUGGGGGAAACCCUGAUGCAGCGACGCCGCGUGGAGGAAGAAGGUUUUCGGAUUGUAAACUCCUGUCGUUAGGGACGAUAAUGACGGUACCUAACAAGAAAGCACCGGCUAACUACGUGCCAGCAGCCGCGGUAAAACGUAGGGUGCAAGCGUUGUCCGGAAUUACUGGGUGUAAAGGGAGCGCAGGCGGGAAGACAAGUUGGAAGUGAAAACCAUGGGCUCAACCCAUGAAUUGCUUUCAAAACUGUUUUUCUUGAGUAGUGCAGAGGUAGAUGGAAUUCCCGGUGUAGCGGUGGAAUGCGUAGAUAUCGGGAGGAACACCAGUGGCGAAGGCGGUCUACUGGGCACCAACUGACGCUGAGGCUCGAAAGCAUGGGUAGCAAACAGGAUUAGAUACCCUGGUAGUCCAUGCCGUAAACGAUGAUUACUAGGUGUUGGGGGAUUGACCCCCUCA